CCCCUAGAUGUUCUGGGCCGCACGCGCGCUACACUGAACAGUUCGACAAGUCUUAACCUUGGCCGAUAGGUCUGGGUAAUCUUUGAACGCUGUUCGUGACUGGGAUAGACCUUUGCAAUUAUGGGUCUUCAACGAGGAAUUCCUAGUAAACGCAAGUCAUCAGCUUGCAUUGAUUACGUCCCUGCCCUUUGUACACACCGCCCGUCGCACCUACCGAUUGAAUGGUCCGGUGAAAUCUCGGGACGGCGGCUUGGUCGCUUGCGUCCGACUGCUGAAACUUGAUUAAACCAUAUCAUUUAGAGGAAGGUGAAGUCGUAACA
rnacentral:rRNA from 1 species